UGCAGUAUAGAGGAAUGGUUAACUCGUUGGGCUCAUGCCCCAAAGAUGCGAGUUCAAAUCUCGCUGCUGCGC
rnacentral:tRNA from 1 species